AUUGAACGCUGGCGGCAGGCCUAACACAUGCAAGUCGAGCGGAGCGGCGGACGGGUGAUUAAUGCCUAGGAAUCUGCCCGGUAGUGGGGGACAACGCACGGAAACGGGCCCUAAUACCGCAUGCUAUCAGAUGAGCCUAGGUCGGAUUAGCUAGUUGGUGGGGUAAAGGCGUCCCAAGGUGACGAUCCGUAACUGGUCUGAGAGGAUGAUCAGUCACACUGGGACUGAGACACGGUCCAGACUCCUACGGGAGGCAGCAGUGGGGAAUAUUGGACAAUGGGCGAAAGCCUGAUCCAGCCAUGCCGCGUGUGUGAAGAAGGUCUUCGGAUUGUAAAGCACUUUAAGUUGGGAGGCGUUACCAACAGAAUAAGCACCGGCUAACUACGUGCCAGCAGCCGCGGUAAUAC
rnacentral:rRNA from 1 species